rnacentral:lncRNA from 12 species
UUGGAACAAUGGUAACAACUGGAAUGGCGGUUGGAACAAUGGUAACAAUUGGAAUGGCGGUUGGAAUGGUGGUUGGAACAGUGGUAACAAUUGGAACGGAGGUAUCAACUGGAACGGCGGUUGGAACGGCGGUUGGAACGGCGGUAACAUUUGGAACGGCAGCGGCAUUUGGAAUGGCAAUUGGAGUGGCAACGGACAGUCUCAGCAGAUUCCAGGUAUCAUCUUCAACAACACGCAAGUCAUCGUUGGUGGCCAGUCCCAAAUUGUGACCAUCAACAGGCAAUGGCGCGUGGCAGUCAUUGAGCAAAUGAGCGGCGGCGGGUCCUGGAAAACCAUCUGGAACUACAACACGGUGAGUGGCAGGGAGGUUGCUCAAUGAAAAAAAAUCAUAUGAGGAGACUGUCUCCUCGUACAUCUGGCCUAGAGGGGGUGAUUGUUUCCUUAUUCCAAACAUUUGGAGUCCAAAACAUGGACCAGUAAAACUCAGCAUUUGUUAUGGUUUCC